rnacentral:rRNA from 1 species
CUACGGGACGCUCCAGUAAGGAAUAUUGCGCAAUGGAGGCAACUCUGACGCAGCCAUGCCGCGUGCAGGAAGAAGGCCUUAUGGGUCGUAAACUGCUUUUAUUUAGGAAUAAACCCCCGAACGUGUUCGGGGCUGAAGGUACUAAACGAAUAAGCACCGGCUAACUCCGUGCCAGCAGCCGCGGUAAUACGGAGGGUGCAAGCGUUAUCCGGAUUUAUUGGGUUUAAAGGGUGCGCAGGCGGGCUAUUAAGUCAGUGGUGAAAUCCCGGGGCUCAACUCCGGAACUGCCAUUGAUACUGAUAGUCUUGAGUUUGGUUGAAGUGGGCGGAAUGUAGCAUGUAGCGGUGAAAUGCAUAGAUAUGCUACAGAACACCAAUCGCGAAGGCAGCUCAUUAAGCCAAAACUGACGCUCAUGCACGAAAGCGUGGGGAUCAAACAGGAUUAGAUACCCCGGUAGUC